AAAAAGACAGUGAACAGAAGAGUAGUUGAAUUAAGGGUCAUCAGAAAGCUUCGGUUGAUGGGAAGAAGCGGUCUUAAUUUGGCGAAACACAUCUGUGAGUUGGCCGUUUGAAUGAAGUAGAAUGGUCCGGGUUAGCCCGUUAUCGCUGGAGUUGCUUGCAACUCGCUGAGGUUGACGCAGUGAUGUGUCAACAAACAGAGGUGGAACCACGAUGUGAUCGUCCUCUUA
rnacentral:ncRNA from 1 species